UACGGGGGGUGCGAGCGUUGUCCGGAAUCACUGGGCGUAAAGGGCGCGUAGGUGGUUUGAUAAGGGUGUGGUGAAAGCCCGGGGCUCAACCCCGGGUCUGCCGUGCCGACUGUCAAACUCGAGGGCUGUAGAGGCAGACGGAAUUCCGGGUGUAGCGGUGGAAUGCGUAGAGAUCCGGAGGAAGACCGGUGGCGAAGGCGGCGUCCUGGACCAACACUGACACUGAGGAGCGAAAGCCAGGGGAGCAAACGGG
rnacentral:rRNA from 1 species